rnacentral:rRNA from 1 species
UACGUAGGGUGCGAGCGUUAAUCGGAAUUACUGGGCGUAAAGCGUGCGCAGGCGGCUUUGCAAGACAGAUGUGAAAUCCCCGGGCUCAACCUGGGAACUGCAUUUGUGACUGUGAGGCUGGAGUACGGCAGAGGGGGAUGGAAUUCCGCGUGUAGCAGUGAAAUGCGUAGAUAUGCGGAGGAACACCGAUGGCGAAGGCAAUCCCCUGGGCCUGUACUGACGCUCAUGCACGAAAGCGUGGGGAGCAAACAGG